AUGCUGGGAAUGAGCAUUGACAGUGGAGCUAGUGUACGGGAGCUCACCAAACUGUUUGUCUGUUGGUGUGCUUUCACAGGAGUGAUACGAAAUAAAGAUACAUCUCAGCAACUGUCCACGAGUCACAAAUA